UACGGGGGGAGCAAGCGUUGUUCGGAUUUACUGGGCGUAAAGGGCGCGUAGGCGGCCAGCACAAGUCAGUUGUGAAAUCUCCGGGCUUAACUCGGAAAGGUCAACUGAUACUGUGCGGCUAGAGUGCAGAAGGGGCAACUGGAAUUCUCGGUGUAGCGGUGAAAUGCGUAGAUAUCGAGAGGAACACCGGCGGCGAAGGCGGCCAACUGGACAGAUACUGACGCUGAGACUCGAAAGCGUGGGGAGCAAACAGG
rnacentral:rRNA from 1 species